CCUACGGGUGGCAGCAGUGGGGAAUAUUGGACAAUGGUGGAAACCCUGAUCCAGCGACGCCGCGUGAGUGAAGAAGUAUUUCGGUACGUAAAGCUCUAUCAGCAGGAAAGAAAAUGACGGUACCUGACUACGAAGCCCCGGCUAACUACGUGCCAGCAGCCGCGGUAAUACGUAAGGGGCAAGCGUUAUCCGGAUUUACUGGGGGUAAAGGGAGCGUAGACGGCAGCGAAAGUCUGGAGUGAAAUGCCGGGGCCCAAACCCGGAACUGCUCUGGAAACUGGGAGGCUGGAGUGCAGGAGAGGUAAGCGGAAUGCGUGGUGUAGCGGUGAAAUGCGUAGAUAUCAGGAGGAACACCGACGGCGAAGGCGGCUUACUGGCCUGUAACUGACGUUGAGGCUCGAAGGCGUGGGGAGCGAACAGGAUUAGAUACCCCGGUAGUC
rnacentral:rRNA from 1 species